rnacentral:rRNA from 1 species
GUCGACGAGAGGACAUGGGAAGCUUGCUUCCUAUGAAAUCGAGUGGCAAACGGGUGAGUAACGCGUAAACAACCUGCCCUUCGGAUGGGGAUAACAGCCGGAAAUGGCUGCUAAUACCGAAUACGAUCUUUUCGUCGCAUGACGGAAAGAAGAAAGGAUGGCCUCUAUACAAAGCUAUCGCCGAAGGAGGGGUUUGCGUCUGAUUAGCUGGUUGGAGGGGUAACGGCCCAACAAGGCGAUGAUCAGUAGCCGGUCUGAGAGGAUGAACGGCCACAUUGGGACUGAGACACGGCCCAGACUCCUACGGGAGGCAGCAGUGGGGAAUCUUCCGCAAUGGACGAAAGUCUGACGGAGCAACGCCGCGUGAGUGAAGAAGGUCUUCGGAUUGUAAAGCUCUGUUAUACGGGACGAAAAAGACGGAUGCCAACAGUAUCCGUCCGUGACGGUACCGUAAGAGAAAGCCACGGCUAACUACGUGCCAGCAGCCGCGGUAAUACGUAGGUGGCAAGCGUUGUCCGGAAUUAUUGGGCGUAAAGGGCGCGCAGGCGGUUCGGUAAGUCUGUCUUAAAAGUGCGGGGCUUAACCCCGUGAGGGGACGGAAACUGUCGAACUUGAGUGUCGGAGAGGAAAGCGGAAUUCCUAGUGUAGCGGUGAAAUGCGUAGAUAUUAGGAGGAACACCGGUGGCGAAAGCGGCUUUCUGGACGACAACUGACGCUGAGGCGCGAAAGCGUGGGGAGCAA